rnacentral:rRNA from 1 species
UACAGAGGGUGCGAGCGUUAAUCGGAAUUACUGGGCGUAAAGCGCACGUAGUCGGCUUUGCAAGUCGGGUGUGAAAUCCCCGGGCUCAACCUGGGAACUGCAUCCGAGUCUGCAUUGCUAGAGUAUGGGAGAGGGAAGCGGAAUUCCAGGUGUAGCGGUGAAAUGCGUAGAUAUCUGGAGGAACACCGGUGGCGAAGGCGGCAUCCUGGACCAACACUGACGCUGAGUGAGCGAAAGCCAGGGGAGCAAACGGG